rnacentral:lncRNA from 1 species
GAGCAGAUAGAAUUAGUGAGCAGUUCAGUCCACCAUCAUGGAACAGAAUGCAAGACAGCACGUCACUGAACAGAGGCACCGAGAGUGAUAUGCUCUAACUGGAAGCUUCUCAGACAGGGGUAAAAAUUGUCAGAAUGUCCCCACCUCUGACUGGCAGAACAAAGACUCAUGUAGGAGAUCCUGAAAAAGGGAAGACAUGGAAAGCCCAUGCUGUGCACCAGCUUCACUCAUUGCAUCACCAAACUCUAAAUUCCAUGAGGAUGAGGGUUUCAUCUGCUGUCUCCAGCGCGUAGAGCCGUGCAUUCGGUAACUUAUCGGUAAGUACUA